CUCCACCCCACCACUGCAUUUCGGGAUACAUAUAUAAAAGAAACUUAAUACAAUAAUAUGGAUGCAGCUGUAUUUUUUACUAUACGGCGAAGUAAGUUCUGCAAAAAUUAAUUGGAUGCUACAAAUACUGAAAAGACAACGGUCCGUCAAAUUUCUGUACUUAACAUAUAAAUUAUUGGUAUGAUGUGUUUCAAGAGAAUUUGGAAUUUACACUGAGUGUUGUGUGAGAUUUAUGUUAAAUGAAAAAUGUAAAAUGUUAAUGUUAAAUGUAAAUGUUAAAUAAGAUUCACAAGUAAAUCUUAAUGAACGAAACGGGAGCAUUGAAUCCUGAAACCCCAAGAAAUCAGAAAUCGUACAAUCCUGUAAUAAUGGACUAAUAUUACUAACUAGUACAACUGAAAAUUAUAAUAUAAAAUAAAAUAUACCUUAUAUAAUAAAUACUUUCGCAAUUCACAACGGAAAGGAUUUAUAUAAUACCAUUUCAUUUUGAAUUUGAAAUAUUCAAACAUCAUCAGUUUGAGUACUGUUUCAAUUAAUAAGUUUAUAUAAUAUUUGUUAGAAUUAAUUGUUGCUUUUGAACUUUUAACCAUAACCAUUAUGGUAAUUCAAUCAACCAUCAUGUAUCAAUUUUGGGUGUGUGAGCCAUAAAAUAGUACUUCCUGUGAGUGUGGAAACGA